GUCCGUAUGUCUCGCCGAUUGAACAUAACAAACGUUUAUUAUAAAACGAUACAUUUUCAUUUUUUUUUUUUUAAUACUGACCAUCGUUUUUCGGAGGACACUCGUUGAAUCGGCUACCGAUUUUGAGUAAAUAUUGAAACGGUUCCCGAAACCACAAAAUAAUAUUAUAUACUUUUACUAUUAUAUGCAAUUUUGGUCGACCGAUAUAUUUUUGAAAACAAGGCGUAUGGAGUCAGAUCAAAGGGUGAAAUAUUAUCGACAAUUCGUAUUUGAGAGCCCAAUUCAAUUUUCUCUGUUCUCCUCGAAAUGGCUGCAUCAGAAAUCCGUCCCGCGGGUCGGGUAAUUGCCUCCGAAUCCCGUAGAUAUUUAAAUUAUUAAGAUUUUCGUUGUUUUUUUCUUUUCCAGGCGUAGGGCUGGCAGCUUUGCCGGUAUGUUUAAAAACUUGUAUGUUUUUUUUUUCCUUAUCGCGAGCCACGAAAACAUGAAAAGAAAUAAUUAUGUACAGACCCGUCGGAAUUAAAGGAGAAACGGACAUUGGCACGGUAGUAUGUUAUACCAUAUGCAGUAGGUGCCUUACUUCUCAGAAGGAACGAAACGACGAGAGGGCGAACUCGGACUGUCUCGAAAUCGCGGUUUGCAAACCCGAUCGUCGGACGAGAAGAACAAUUGUAUUACGGAAGCGGCGCUCAAAUAACCGUCCGUAUGUAAAUCGUUAUUGUAUAUAAGGUAUACGUACGAGUUAUAUACAUAUAUUGUUGUUCUAUCCGGUCGAUUAUGGUACCCGAA